rnacentral:lncRNA from 1 species
UUUUUUUUUUUUUGCGUUAUGCAGGUGAUGCAGAAGCAUCAGAAAUACUUUGCCAUGACUGAUGAGAAUGGGUUACUGUUGCCAUACUUUGUCACAGUGAGAUCCUUACUAUGUUGUUUCUGUGGCAAAUUGUUACCUGCUUAGCUUAAAGUGAGAUGUUAGCUUGUAAUUGGUAACUUGAUAUGGAUUUAACUUUUCAGGUUGCAAAUGGAUCAAUUGAUAACAAGGUAGUUAGGAAAGGAAAUGAAGCUGUGCUAAGGUUACUAUCCUUUAGUUAGGCUCUUUCCUUCAUAUUUCUAAAGUUUUGGAUCUAGGUGCUACUUGCACUAUUUAUAUUUUACUUGAUCCCUUAUCAGCUUACUUUAUGAUAACUGGUAUAUGCUUAAAGAUGUAAACUGCAUACACAUUGCAGAGCUCGAUUUGAAGAUGCAAAAUUUUUCUAUGCAAUGGACACAAAUAGAAAAUUUUCUGAAUUCCGUACGCAACUGAAAGGGAUUCUUUUCCAUGUAAGUCUUAGAAUUCCAUCUUAACUGUCCUCUUUUUUCCUGUUACGGUUUGACACUUCAAAUUUCUAUAAUACUCUAGCUCUCGUUGGCCUCUCUAAUCGGGGAAUUGUUAUCUAGAGCUAAAUUUAAUUUCAAGUUAAAGAAUUGAAAUCCUUAUUCUGUGUGUAAGUCUUACUGAAUUGAUUGAUAUCAAAUCUAAAAUUAGUCUUUUUGAUGUACAUACCAGCUUUGCGCAAUCAAUGAAAUCUGACUUUUAUUUAAAAUAUAUCAACUAUGAAAUUGUAAUCUCAUAAGGUAUAUGUGACUAGUGCGUCAAGCAAAAUUUCUAUAAAUGGACCUUGACCCUAAUUCAACCCCAAAAGCUAGCUCUAGAGAUGAGGGAUUGCCUAAGCCAUAUAAAGAGACCACCCACUCCAUAAUUGGGCAAUGUGGGGCUCUUCAACACUCCCCAGGCGCCUAGGACUGACAUAACAUCUAGAGCGUGGACAAUUUUUUGGGGGCCCUGCUUCGGAAAACCAAGAAUUGGCCCUGCUCUGAACACCAUGUAAAGAAAUGGACCUUUGACCUAACUUAACCUCAAAAGCUAGUUCAAGAGGUGUGGAUAGCCUAAAGCCCUAAACCAUACAAAGAGACCAUCUCUCCCGUAAGAGCCCUAUGUGACACUCUUCAACAACAAUAAUAGUUUCUCUAAUUCUUGCAAAUUUGUUAGUUCUUAGCCCUUAAUUUCUGCUGAUCUCUAGUAGUUUUCGCUAAACGAUAACGCCUCUGCACAGGAGAAGCUUGGGACUAUGCUAGACAAGAUGACACGAGUUCAGAAUUUGGCUAGUGAAGUUGGGUUGUCUCUUGGAAUAAGUGAAGACAAACUCAAAGUCAUCCAAGAUGCAGCCUCAUUAGCCAUGGCGGAUCUUGCAACUGCAGUUGUUACAGAGUUCACUUCUCUUUCAGGGACAAUGGCACGCCACUAUGCACUAAGAGAUGGCCAUUCAAAGGAGGUAGUGAGAACCAAAUUUUUUAUGGAUACUUUUGUGACUAGUUGAGUAUUCAGUUGUCACUUGAUCCUAGUUUUUUGUUUUUGAUUGUCUUCUAAUUGUAUUUGCUAACUGAUCAUAUGCAUAUUGUGUUUAUUCUAAAUAUUCAUCCCCUUUACAAACCCUUUAUGGCUUUAUCUUAAAAAAUAAAUAAAUUCAUCCCCUUAUAUCUGGUCUGUGAUUUAAUUGCUUUACUAGUACUACUGUAAAAGAGGCGUCUUCCAAAGCACUGGGGAGAUGAGGUUAGGCUGAUCUUUGUUCCUUUUAGCAGGAGUGGUUCUCUUGGAUUUAGCCUUCAAUAAUAUUGAAUUCCGAGGGAAUCAAUAUUUAAUUCGUGUUUUAGCAGGGAAUUAUCAACAUCAGAAGAGUUUUAUUUCAAAGAGAUGGGAAAUUUCGUAGCAAAUAUGUUAGAAUGUUAAGAGAAUUCUUUGUUCUAUCCUUUUGUUUAGAAUACAACAAGAAUUUCUUUUAAAUUGGAAGAAGAGUACAGUAAAGAGGACCAGGUGUUUGCAGGAUAGAGAAAUUAAACUGGGGGCAUGGUGUGCACUCCACUUUUGCUGAAGAUAAGUCAAGCGAAAUUCUGAAAGAGGCCUAUAGCCUUACAGCACAUAGUUGACAAAAGAACGACCAUAUGGUGUUUCAACAACAACAAACCCAGUGUAGUACCAUAAGCAGGGUCUGGGGAGGGUGGAGUGUAGGCAGACCCUUACCCCCUACCUCGAGGAGGUAGAGAGGUUGUUUCUGGAACACCCUUGGCUCGGGUAACGAACAUCAAAGCAGCUAAAAGAGAAAUACAAAAGUAAAGAGGACAUAGAAAAUAAUAGGGAAAAUAUAACAUAAUUCAAAAGAGGAGCAAUAACAAUAACCAACUAAUGUGAUAACUGAAGCACAGUAAAUAACGAGGAGUUUUGGUAGAAGAAAUGUAGAGGAAGAUUGGUGGCAGAGUAUCCCAGCUUGUAUAUGGUGGAUUGUAUGGAAGGAGAGGAACCUUAGACAUUUUGAGAACAAGAUCAAUCCUAUCCAGAAAAUUAGAAUGAACUGCCUCAACCUUCCUUGUUUUUUGAGUAAACAGGAAUCCAGGGGGGGGGGGGGGUAUUGUGGGGGUUAAAGCUNNNNNNNNNNNNNNNNNNNNNNNNNNNNNNNNNNNNNNNNNNNNNNNNNNNNNNNNNNNNNNNNNNNNNNNNNNNNNNNNNNNNNNNNNNNNNNNNNNNNNNNNNNNNNNNNNNNNNNNNNNNNNNNNNNNNNNNNNNNNNNNNNNNNNNNNNNNNNNNNNNNNNNNNNNNNNNNNNNNNNNNNNNNNNNNNNNNNNNNNNNNNNNNNNNNNNNNNNNNNNNNNNNNNNNNNNNNNNNNNNNNNNNNNNNNNNNNNNNNNNNNNNNNNNNNNNNNNNNNNNNNNNNNNNNNNNNNNNNNNNNNNNNNNNNNNNNNNNNNNNNNNNNNNNNNNNNUCAUUAUAAAAGGAGAAAGAAUGAGAAAAAAAAAAGAAGGGGGGGGGGGGGGGGGGGGGUAUUGUAGAGUUUAAAGAUAGUUUGGAAAAUACUAGAUAGACAAAGCACUCCCAUGAUCCUUCUGUGUAUGGUAACAGUUCUCCUCAAUACCUGAUUUGUAGGUUUUAGUCUUUUGUUUGAAUAUGAAAUACAAAAUACCCUUUUCAAAAAAAUAAAAAUAACGAGGAGUAACAAAAUUCGUAAGACAGGUAACUACGAGAAAAAUGCUACUACCACUAGUAUAAACAGGGAAACAGGUACAAUGCACCAACAAACCACCAAGCCUAUCCCGCUAGGAAACGAGAUAAUGCUCAACUUCCUACUAACCUUCUACCCUAAUCUGCGACCUCCAUAACCUUCUACGGAUGCAAUCUUGGUGUAGCUAAUAGGUCCAGAAUUGAGUUAUUGUCCUUGAUAUUUUGUGAAGUUGAAUAUCUACCUUUCUAUAGAUUCCUCCAACUUUCUGUUUAAUGCACCAAAUCUUGGAAUUCUAAAUUUUCAAGCUUUAUGCUUUGAAGACAAUAAAGGAAGGAAUCUGAAAUCAGGAUGUCUUCGUUCCUCCUCUAACUUUCUGUCUAAUGCACAAAAUCUAGAAUUCCAAAUUUUUAGGUUACGCUCUGAAUAUCAUAAUGAAUGAACCAGAAAUCAGGAUGUCUUCAUUCCUCCUUAAUACAUAAAUGUGUCUUCUUCUGUUGGCUUAUAUGUUUGCAUUCACUUGGAUUUAUGCACUCCUGUCACUAGCUUCAUGAGGUAAAGACGUGCAAUAUCGGUUGUUUUUACAGAGAAAGUUGUGAUGUACUUUGUCAAAUACAAGCUUGAUGCAGAAUAUUGCUGAGUGUUUUUUUGAAUAUAUCACUCAAUUACUUUGUAGUACCAAUAUUAUGUAAUACGUCAUACACUUGGCCAAAGGCUGAAGCGAAGGUUUACUAUUUCAAAGAAUUGCUUGCUAUUUAAAUUUAUUGAAACUAAGGUUCACUAUUUCAAAUAACUGCAAGCUAUUUAACUUUGUAUGCAAAUUCUCAUUUUUGAUUAAAAAUAAAUUUUAGUUUCGCAUUUUUGUGAUUUAUUUCAAUGUAUUGAUGUUCUUUUCAUGUUAUCUGACUACAUUAAAUUUUCCUGUAAUGUGCUUUACAGAUUGCAGAGGCAUUGUUUGAGAUCUUACUUCCACGAUUUUCUGGAGAUAUGCUCCCAAAAACUGAAGUUGGGUCUGUUUUGGCUAUUACUGAUAGGUAUGACUAAUGCUUGCUAUCUUUCAGUUUAGGUCUUUUCAGAUGAUCAUUAGGAUUAUGGAAAUGUAAGGUUCAUGACACUCUGUGUCACAUGAAUUGCUUCAAGUGGUCUAAACAAAAUAUGGGACAUCUUUUGUAUUGCAAAUAUUUUUCGAGACUGAGAUCAGCAUUGAAUGAUUCGUUUUUUUUGUUGAUCAAGUAAGGUUUUCAUUGAUAAUAACAAGGCCAUAUUUGCCGUAUACAUGAGUAUACCAAAAAGGAGAGACGUACAAAAUAUGGUCCUCUCCGAAAUGCACCAAAUCCUCUAUACAAACAAGAACUACAUGGGUGCACCAAAGGAAAAUAAGGGGUCGGAGACUACUCCUUAAUUGAGCAAAGCUCAUCUCCACCACUUCAAAAGCUCUCCUAUUUCUCUCUUUCCAAAUGACCCACAUUAGAGCUAGAGGAAUAACAUUCCACGCCUUGUGCCUUCUCCUCACUCCAUUCUUCCAACUGAACAUAAGAGCCCGUUUGGAUUAGCUUAAAAGUUGGUCAAACCUACUUUUAAGUCAGUUUUUGACUUUUGGAAGUGUUUGGCAAAUAUAAAAAAUACUUAAAAUAAGUCAAAAAUGACUUAAAAUAAGUUACGAAGUGUUUGGCAAGGCAAAAAAUGACUUAAAAUAAGUCAAAAAUGACUUAAAAUAAGUCGGAAACCAAAAGUAGGUCUCCCCUUACUUUUUAUAUUUUGACUUAAAAAGUCAUUUCAGUUUGACUUUUUAUUUUUGACUUAAAAGCUACUUUUUUUAAGACAAUCCAAAUGGGCUCUAACUCCUUCACAGAUCUUGGCAUUACCCAAGUGAAGCCAAACCAUGUAAAUAUAUCAUCUCAUAACCUCGAGGCUAAUUUGCAAUGUAACAAAAUAUGAUCCACAUCCUCACCAGUUUCCUUACAUUCAUAUUUGAGACAUGGCAAGGGUUUUGCAUUAUUAACUUAAGGGAGAAAUUUGCAUAUGCAUCGAAAAGUGUUGUACUCAUAAUCAUCUUCUAAUUGGUAGUCUGUUAUCUACUAAACCAGAUUAGCCUUAGCUUGAUUUCGUGUCAAGGCUUGCCUCUAAUAGGCUGUUCUUAGAGAUUAUCUACCACUGAUAGUGCAUGCAAAAUUUGCUUUAUAUUGCAGUGCUGUUACAUGCUUUAACUUGCAUGCACUUCUUAUCUUUGUGAUAUUAUGAUGAAUGUCUUAUCUUGAAUUUUAUUCUCUUGGCAUUGUAGUUGCCAAUUUUUGUCGUCUCUCAGAUAGUGCAUUUCUGCUGCAGGCUUGAUAGCAUUGUUGGCUUAUUUGCUGCUGGCUGUCAGCCAAGCUCAAGUAAUGAUCCAUUUGGCCUGCGACGGAUCUCCUACGGUCUUGUAUGCCUCCAUCUAGAACAACCUGGUUCAUUUGAAGAAUUGUCAAAGUAACACUUGCUUUUGUUUUUCAUAGGUGCAACUCUUGGUUGAAAUUGACAGAAAUGUGGACUUACGACAGGCUUUAGAACUUGCUGCUGCAGUGCAACCCAUUGAAGUUGAUGUCAGUACAAUCAAUGAUGUAAGAUUGCCGCCCAUUGCUUAGUUAGUUUAGAUGAUUACAGUAGUAGCGACUUGAUUCUGUCUCCGUUGGUCUGGGUUAUAUAGAAGGGUAAGUAUGCCCCCUUUCAGCUGCCUGUUCAUACUACCUCUGUUGAAAUAAAGGAUAAAAUCCACCAGCCGCAGUACAUCCUGUAGGCUGUAUAAUUUAAUAUGCUGUGUACUACUCCCUCCGUCCCAUAUUACUUGUCACAUUUCCCCAACUAGAAAUGGUGAAUUGCCCCAGAAUCAAUGCAGAUAAUAGGUCCACGUUGGAGGCUCCUUUUGAACCAUAAGAAAUUCUAGAAAUCAUCAAGGCAUGUGCUAGGGAUAAAGCCCCGGCCCAGAUGGUUAUUCAAUGGAAUUCUUCAAACAAUGUUGGGAUGUCAUCAACUCAGACUUGGUUGGAGCAAUUCAAAACUUUCAUGAGAAAUUUUUCUUUGAAAAGAGUUUGAAUGCAACCUUUGUAGCCUUCAUCCCAAAGAAAGUGGGUGCUGAGGAACUAAAAGACUUUAGACCCAUUAGUCUUAUUGGGGGAGUGUACAAGAUCAUUGCAAAGCUUCUAGCAGAAAGACUCAAGAAGGUGAUACAUAGUCUAGUGGAUAGACAACAAAUGGCUUUUAUCAAGGGUAGGCAAAUUAUGGAUGCUGUUUUGAUAGCCAAUGAAUGUAUAGAGUCCAGACAGAGGAGCAAUAAGCCAGGAAUUGUAUGCAAGUUGGAUAUACAGAAAGCUUAUGACUUUCUAAACUGGGACUUUCUCACCCGAAUGCUGGAAACGAUGGAUAAAGCAUUGUAUUGGCACUGUCAGGUUCUCUAUACUUGUUAAUAGAGUGAAGAGGCCUGAGACAGGGGGACCCUCUUUCCCCCUUUUUAUUCAUCUUAGCUAUGAAAGGAAUGAAUAACCAAAUCAAUACAGCAAAGAGGAAGGGGUGGAUCGAGGGGUUCCAAGCAGGAGAACUAUCUAAUUUGGAGAUAACUCAUCUACAAUAUGCAGAUGACACAUUGGUGUUUUGUGAAGUAGAGGCAAAACAAAUUCUGAUAUUGAGGGUUAUUUUUGUCAUUUUUGAAGUUGUCUCUGGUCUCCACAUAAAUUGGGGGAAAAGCUUCAUCUAUCCUAUCAACAGUGUGAUUAAUAUAGAUGUUUUGGCCAGUAAACUAGGAGGCAAGGUUGGGAGCUAAAAGCAAAUCCAAAGGCAUAUGGAAUGGGGUCCUGGAGAAAUGUGAAAAGAGACUUACUAACUGGAAUAGCCAGUACUUGUCCUUGGGAGGAAGAUGGACUUUAAUCAACAGUGUGAUGGAUGCAUUACCCUCUUAUAUGAUGUCUAUAUUUCCUAAUGCAUCUAAGAGCAUUCAUGCCUUUAGAAGGAAUUUCCUAUGGCAAGGCAGUGAAGAUAAGAAGUUCCAUUUAGUUAAAUGGGAGGAACUGACCGUGAGUAAGAAUAUAGGAGGUAUAGGCAUCAAGAACAUGAGGAAACAAAAUUAGAGCCUAAUGAUGAAGUGGUUGUGGAAGUUUGCAAAUGAAUAUCACAUGCUCUGGAAAGAAAUCAUCACAGCAAAAUAUGGUAUGGAAGAUAAGUGGAUGACUAAAAUGGUAAGUACUCCAUAUAAAUGCGCUGUUUGGAGGGAAACAAAAAUUUAUGGCCAGUGCUAUAUCAUAGAACCAGGGUAGAAGUGGGAGAUGGUUUAAAGACAUCCUUCUGGGAGGACAAAUGGAAUGGGCAGUUCCUAUGAAACAAUUGCAUCCUGAAUUGUCUAUUUUAUGCCAACAUCAACAGGUCACUGUGGCUACAAUGUGGACUGGCAAAGAUGGAAUUUGUUCCUAAGGAGGAACCUUCAUGACUGGGAAAUAGACAAAGUGACAGAUUUCAAGAUUCAGUAGCCUCAUCCAACGACCUCGCUGAAAAGGACUUGCUGAUUUGGAAGAAUGACACCAAAGGUCAAUUCUUAGUAAAUUCUAUGUAUAAGGAACUUAACAAGAAUGCAGGACAGGAGACAGAUUGGCCAUGGAAGAUGAUCUGGAAACCAAAGGCACCCUACAAAGUAAACUGCUUCAUGUGGUUUUUGACAAAAGAAGCAGUUUUGACUCAUAAAAUUUUUAACAAAAGAGGAUAUCAGUUGACCUCUAGAUGUACUUUAUGUGGAGCUAAGUUGCUCGGACUCGGAUGCGGAUCUGCAUGUUGGAUCCUUCUUGAUCUAAUUUUUAAGAUUCGGGGAUAUGGAUCUAGAUACGGAUACGGGUGCGGGGACUCGGCAAAAAAUAUAAUCUAGAAAUAAAGUUAUAUGCAUAAAUAUGAGACAUUAUGGAAAACUUACAUGUAACUUUGUAGAGUACUAGGGUGUAGAAACAAGCAAUUGAAGCUUUUAUUCUCAAUAAUAAAUAUAUAGGCCGGCUGCAAGCAUGUUAAGCUCUCCAAAAGGGCAUGAUUCAUUCAUUUUAAAAUUUGGUUGACUCUUAAAAUUUCACGUGUCACAUAAAUUGAAAGACGGAGAGUAACAAAUAUUAUUGAAAAAUUACGUUAAAUUUUCUAUAAAUCACAAUAUGUAACAAUUUACAACAUUUUAAAAUUAUACAAAAAUUUAGUUGAUUCUCUUAAUUUUAUUUGUGCCACAUAAAUUGAGACAAAAAAAAUAACAAAUGUUGAGUCCGUGCUUGCACCUUGCUCGGAUAUAUAUAUAUAUAUAGCAGCUAAAGUACUAAAAUUCAAUCUAAGAUAAUACAUUUUAUAUAUAAAUAUCUCUCUCUCUCUCUAUAUAUAUAUAUGUAUAUAUAUUACGUGUCAGCUAAAAUGACUAAAAUUCAAUUUAAGAUAAUAAAUUUGUCUCCCUCGUCUUCUACUCUUCUUGAUCUUUGUUCCUCUGCAAUCUGCUUCGUCUUCUCUCCUCCAUCUUCUUCCCAAACAAAUUUCCAAUAUCUGUGUUUUUCCCCAGUUCACGGCACACAAAGUCUAGUAGUCCACCAUGGCAUCACCGAUUUCUCGACAUCUCUAUUCCAAAAUAGAAAUCGUAGUCUUGCAACAACCACAUGACCAAGAAUAUUUACCAAGAAAAAAGCUUCAAAGGAGACAAAAGGAUUAGUAUAUAUUACUAUAUAACAACAGAAUUGAAGGUAUUUGUUUCCGAUCUACUCAAAUCUUUACUUUUAGUUAUCAAAAUUACUAUUUUUUCUCCAAAGUAUUGGUCAACACACCCGAUCUCAUUUGAUCGGAUCCAACACAGAUCCCACACCCUUACCCGUGUCAGUGUCGUGUCGACACGGGUGCGACACCGAAAUUGCCGAGUCCGAGUAACUUAGAUGUGGAGAGCAUGCAGAGACAAUUAACCAUCUUUUUUUGCACUGUACAUGGACAUAACAUUUAUGGAAAAUGUUCAUCUGUCCAAAGGAGAUAAGAUGGGUGAAACCAUGGAAGCAACUAGAAUAGAGAUGACAAUGCUUCAGAUAAGGAGAAGAGAUGAAAACUUGUCCCAUCAUGCAUUUGGUUAACAAUUUGGAAAGAGAGGAACAAUAGGAGUUUUGAGAAUGUGCAGAACAGCUUACAGAAGAUCAAAAUGAAUUGCUUAGCUCUUUUUAAUUUUUGGUGUAAAGAAGAUAUAUUGACUAGGACAGAAGACAUUUUUGAUGUGCUAGAUUGUUUAUAGGCUGCAGUUUAGAUUAAGAUUGUCUCUCUCUGUAAGUUGUAACACUUUUUGAAGGGGAGCUACACUUUUGGUUGUAGUAUACCUGUGGAUAUAUAGACUAAAGCUACCAGUUUCAAAAAAAACAUUACUCGUCACAUUUCCCUUUCACACGCCCUCUAAAACUUCAAAAAUAAGAAGUAUAUUUUUGAGAAAAUACAUUAAAUUACCUUGAACUUGGCAGCCAAACUUACUUUAGCACUUUAAUUUUACGAGCGUUUAUUUACCCCCCCGAUUUCAUUUCAUGUGUUUUUAAUACCACCCAAACAGCUGAGAUGGCCAAAACAGAAGAGAAAAAAAAUUCCCCAUCCACCCUCAAUCACCGCCUGCCCCACCUCCUUUCUCUUACUUCAAAACCCAACCUACCCCCUCUACCUGCUCGUCUCUCCUUUCUCAAACUCCCCACCCUAUCCCUUUUCUCCUUCUUCAAACCCCACACCACACACAAAGUACACUUUUCUCAUUAAACACAUAGGAAUAGAAAAUCACAGAAACUUCAAGAACCACAUAAUUUUCUUUGUUCUUUACUUCUGUGAUUUGAUUUUUCUUAGAAAGUUUUGGAUUUUUUUGAAAAAUAAAGAUUCCCCAUGAAAGAAUAUGAGGUUUUGUCGGGAGAUAUCCGGUGUAAAUGGUUGUGAAAUUCAUUGCAAACUAAUCUGUGUUUCUCUUGAAUUAGUUAAGAAUUAGAACUUGAGUAGUAUAUACAAAAUAUAAGAAUGAGGAACACCGAAGGCCGGCAAUGGCACUAAGUGGCCGACGAGUAAUGCAAGAAAAAUUCAUUGCUAAUGACCUCAAUUUUUCUUAAACUAAUUAGGAAUUAGGAAUUAAUAAGUGUUUAAUAUCAGGAAAAGAAAAAAUCGUGAAAAAAAAGAAAGAAAUGAAUUAAAAAUCAAAAUUUAGAGAAUUUCUAAUGUGGCUCUGACGUUGACGUGGUGCUUAUGUGGUUCUGAUGUGGCGAUGAUGUGGUGCAUCUUGCCAUUGUGAGACUGAUAUUAUAUUCUUAGUGUGGUAUACAUUCACUUCUAACUAGAGUAUGGGGUAAAUAAAUUCCUGUAAACUUAAGGUACUAAAGUACGUUUGCUUGCCAAGUUUGAGGGUGAUUUUUAUGUAUUUUCUAUAUGUUUUACUAAUAUACCCUAAAUUGUACUCUAUUUAUGAGCCUUAUGCAUCAAUACCAAGUAUACCUCAAAAUAAUAAACUCACAUUAAUGAAGUAUUUAGAUCGGUUAAGCAAAAAUUAUUCGCUAGCAUAGAAUAUAUAAGUUGACCCUUUUUGCUAAGUUGGAUUUUUCAUUACACUGACAAUCCUUUACUCCAAAAUCUUUGCUAACUGUUAGUUUUGAAAAAAGUUCAACGUUAAAUAUUUUCAGAGCCAAAGUUUCUGAUGAAUAUAUCAAAUGAUCAGCUUUUAAUUCUUUAACAACCACUUCAACUUCUGUUGGAUCCUCAAUGUUGGAUGAUUAGUUUUUAAUUCUUGCUCCAUCUUUUUUCAUAAUUAUAUUCAUGGGAUUUCCUUUAAGAAUAGUUCUUAUAAUAGAUGCGCAAAUGGUGGGAGUACUAUUAAUGCAUAUGUAAUUCCCUCUUUUGACUAAUUGUUACAGGAAUAAGGUUAACGAAAACUUUUUGAACUAUUCAAAUUUACAAUAUUUCUGCAUUGUGAAGUUUACUUUAUUAAAACAAUUAAUUUUUAGGGCAAUGUGUCAAUAAUUUAUUAAUUCUAUCUUUGUUUUGGAAAUUGACAUUCUGGGAUGGAUAAUUUAAAUAAUGUCGACAAAUAAUAUGGGACCGGGGGGGGGGGGGGGGGGGGAUANNNNNNNNNNNNNNNNNNNNNNNNNNNNNNNNNNNNNNNNNNNNNNNNNNNNNNNNNNNNNNNNNNNNNNNNNNNNNNNNNNNNNNNNNNNNNNNNNNNNNNNNNNNNNNNNNNNNNNNNNNNNNNNNNNNNNNNNNNNNNNNNNNNNNNNNNNNNNNNNNNNNNNNNNNNNNNNNNNNNNNNNNNNNNNNNNNNNNNNNNNNNNNNNNNNNNNNNNNNNNNNNNNNNNNNNNNNNNNNNNNNNNNNNNNNNNNNNNNNNNNNNNNNNNNNNNNNNNNNNNNNNNNNNNNNNNNNNNNNNNNNNNNNNNNNNNNNNNNNNNNNNNNNNNNNNNNNNNNNNNNNNNNNNNNNNNNNNNNNNNNNNNNNNNNNNNNNNNNNNNNNNNNNNNNNNNNNNNNNNNNNNNNNNNNNNNNNNNNNNNNNNNNNNNNNNNNNNNNNNNNNNNNNNNNNNNNNNNNACCAAAAAGCGGGGCCGCGGGGGGGGGGGGAGUAGGAAUAUAAAUUGGUAGUCUUUCGUCCUUUGUUUGCAGUCUUUUCUUAUAUCUUAUUCUUGCAACUUCAGGAAUCAUAAUAUGACAUGAUAUUCUUUUUCUUUUUUCCAUUUAAGGUACAUCAAUUUGUAACGCGCAGACUAGAACAAUUUCUGGUAUGUUCCAUUUUCAUGCACACUAAUACUCUGCUGUUGUUAAUUUGUUCUGCUGGUGUUCUUUUUCUUCUUUCCACAGUUAGUAAUCCUUUUAAAUAUGUCCUUGGUUUCACAGAAAUUGUAUUUGACUUUGCCUCCUCUAGGCUCCAUAUUAUUAUCAUCUUAGUGCAUGAACUAUUUCUAGGUUUCUUUUUUUUUUCAGCAUUUGAAGAUCGUGGGAUAAAUUUUGAUCUCUUCAAUAAAUUCUUUUUAUCAGUUAUCCUUGUAAAGAGGAGUAUGGUCUUUUGCUUAUUGACAGUCUUUAGGACCAUUCUAUUACUCCCCCCUCCAAAAGGAAAGAAAAGAAGACUCUUAAGACAAAUGAUGCUAUAUAAAUUUGAUACAUGUCUGUUGCAUUUCAAUUACAGAUGGACAAAGGUAUAAGCCCAGAAGUCGUUAGGUCUGUUCUUUCCGAGCGUGCAAGACGACCUGGUUUGGCGACUAAGUCAGUGUACAAAGUAACUACCAUCCUUUUCCUUUCUUGUGCACUUAAUUAUUUCUUAUUAUGCUUUGCUGAUACUUUUUCCUCUUUCAUGUCUUAAGCGGCAGUACUUUUCUACUCCAUAUGGCAAUUCAAAAAAAAUUCUUUUAAAAUUUUUAUCAACAAAAGUCAGAAUACCCUAUAUCCAAGAGGCUCACAGCUUAUGAGUGCCCUAUGGAGAAGAGUUCUUCUCUGUCCAAUCUGUUAUGCAUGUUGAAGUAUCAUUGGUCCACUUAAAAUAUAAAAAGUAGGGGAACUCAUAAAUGCACUAGUGAGUGUUUUCUCUUUAAAGCUCCUUUUUUUGUGGAAAAUGGUAAUGUUUACUCUUGAAAGCUCUUUAUUGUUUUCUCCCCAUGUAGUCCACAUAAUCGCUCUAGUGGAAUGUCCUUUUGAAAAAUUGGACGCAAUAGAGAUACACCUGAGUGUCCAGGAGUUUGAUGUUUCCAUGUUAUAUCUGCAAUAUGGUAGUACUCCACUAAAUGAUCAAAUGUUGUCUUCUUCCAAACGACCAUCCCCCUCCCCGUCACUCUCCACUAUUGAGGUUAAGUCUCUAAUUUUAUAAGAACUGACUCUUUUAUACUACCCCGUUGUGUCAGUUUAACUUUGAAGGAAUACUUUAUAGUUUUAAGCAAGUUCUGUAGUACCAAUGUUUCUUAAAAAAAGUUCAUUGGAUUCUGUCACUAAUUAUUCUGAAAACCUAAUCAUGUUAGAAAUACUGUUUUGUGUAUAUUUUAAUUAUUCCUGUUUAGUUAUCAAUACUUGAAUUUACCUCAAAGAGUUUAUGAAUAUUUGCAAUUUGGACUUUGAUAUGUUGUGUUAAAUCAAUGAUUACAACAAGGAGGCUAGAUAAUAUCUUGAGUCAUAUCCAGGACCCUGGAAACAGAUAGGCGCAUGAGAAGUGCUACAUUGGGAGGAGAGGUUGUAUUAUUUUUAACGCUCUUUUUUCGGAAGUUUUCUGUAUGUGCUCGUGGUCAAAGUUAGCUCUUCAGCUGAAUCCAAAUAUAAACAACAACUAUGCUUUAGUGCCAAACAAGUUGCUGAAUUUGAAUAUAGUGUAAAUGAAAUAUAAAUUACAACUCUUCAUCAAGAAUCAUAAAAUAUAACUCAAGAGAUUUGGGGUUUAAUUUUCAAAUUUGUGGCCAAGGGUUGGGAAUGUUUUUGAUUGCUUCUCCUUUUGGUAAGUUAAAUGUCUUGUGUUGUGUCUCAUGUUGAAUGCAUACGGCUGGCUCUGGAGUAGAGCAAUGGGCUAAGUUAGUAUAGAAGUAUUUAUUCGAAUUCAUUGUGAUGUUUUGGACUGUGUAACGAAUAUUUAUUGCCAUCAUUUUCAGAUGGAGUCCUUGUCCAAAGGGGAGCUUUUGCCUAAGGUUGUUGAAGCAUAUUCACGUCCAACAAGAAUUGUUCGCGGGAAGGAUUCCAAUGUUGAUGUGGAGGUGCCUCUUAUUCUAUACUCAGCAAAUUUCCUUCUGUAACAUAAAUCUUCUUUGUGAUUAUACUCCACUAUACCAGGUUCUGAACAUAUUCUGUUCCAUUAAUUUUCUUUUAUAGAAUAGCUAUGCAUGUAAGUUGCACCUGUAGCAAAAUGGCAUUCUUGAUACAAAAGUCAUUUUUGGUGUUAUCUAGAAGCUUUUCUCUUUGACAACUAGGAAAAAUUUGUUUCAAAUCUGCUCUGCUGGAUUGGUAAUACAAUUGUUAAUAUUGUCAAGCUCCAUGGACAUCUUACAAUGUGUAGCAAUGGGUUCCCUUUUUAGUCAAGAAUCAUGACUCUUCUUGCCAUUGGUGAUAGUUGGUAGAGUAUUGAGCAUAAAUUGAUCCUUUCUUUUUUAUUACCUCUCCGAAACACUCAAUUCUGCAACAUGAAUGAUUUAGUUGGCUGUCUAUUUGCAUUCGUUGUUCUUAUCUAGUAAAAACAUAUUUUCAUUAUGAAUUAGGUGGAUGAUCAAGCUUUUGAAACAAAUGAAGAGAAAGCUUUGUGGAACACUUACUUGUCACUAAAAAGUAAAAUACAUCCAGGUAUUGCCUCACCUCCAGAUGAAUAACCUUUCGUAAUAUAUUCAAAUAAAUGUAGCUGUCUGUUACAUUGAGGUUACAUUGUAAAUACAUACUUCUUCUGCUUCUUGUUUAUUGGUGGAUUGAGUUUUUCACCAAAAAAUUUACAAUUGAGCAUGCAUGUAUGACUACUGUUCAUUUGCAGACAUGGAAGUUGAUGAUUUUGUUGAAGCAUCAUCAGUACUUGUAGAACCGCUGGAGAAUUUUUUCAACGAGGUCUUUGUAAUGGUGGUAAGUUCCUCUGAUCUCAUUUUACUUCUUACAUGUGAAAACUUCAUAGUUCUGAAGCAUUGACUAGAUAAUCUUGAUUUCUGCGCAUCCAACAGAGUAUAGGCCUAUAGCUCUGCUUACCAUGGUUUUUCCCAUCUUAGAUGAAAUGCAUCGUAUAGAGUAUCAUGUUUUCUUUGUUAUGUUUAUUCUUCUUAGCUCCUAUGGAACGCCUUCCUGUCUUGGUGCUUGCAUCAAUGUGCUUUUUCUUUUCUAUUUCAGUUUCUCUCUGAUCUAAAAGAAGCAUAAAUCUACGCCUGCUGAUACAACUAUAGUGCAUACUUUGAACCUCCUAUUCUUAUGUUAAUUGUUCUUUAUGCAUACUGUAGGAAGACGAACGGGUAAGAACAAAUCGUCUUGCACUGCUGAAGAAAAUAGCAGACUUGCCAAGGGGAAUAGUAGAUCUCUCAGUUUUACCGGGAUUUUGAAGUAUGUACCAGUGUCCGCUUAGUUUGUGCCAUACUAUCAGCUGAGGCAUCAAAGAAGAACAGCUAUUGCCCAUUAGCGGAGGAGAAAACAGUAAACAGACUAAUUUUUUUUCCGCAGAGGGGAAGGGAUACGACCACAACAGAGCGAACUAGAGGAGAAACUGUUACACAAAUUUCGUAACGAUGUCACAAUUUUGACUGUUGUACAAGUGAAUGAAUAAAAUGAGCUAUCGCUUGUAUGCUCACAUUGUCUGAGGAAUAUAUUAUUUUGUUUCAAGUUAUUCAAGAAAUUCACCUUUGAUUGAAUGAAUAAAUGGCCUAAAAAAUAAGUACCAGUAACCUUCGUAAACUACUGUGGAAUUGGUAAACCAGAAAUAAUGCAAAUUACGUGUUAUAUUAGAACGUAACAUGGUAAAGAUAUAAUGAAAUAAUAUACAUAUUUUAUGGACUAUAAACUUCCUUUAAGUAAUAAUGUUUUAAAAUUGAACUUGUACUUUUAUUAGCCUAAAUUACAUAGGAAGUUAGGAACUAAGUGCCCAUUUGUAUUGACUUAAAAAAGUACUCCCUCUAUUUCUAUUUACUUGUCCACUUUUAAAUUGACACAAUUAUUAAGAAAACAAUGAUUGAUAUAGUAAGUUUACCGUUUUACUCCUAUUAAUUAUGAAGUGGAUGAAUUAAAAAUUUAAGAUUUUCAGGAAGUUUUACCUUUUUCAAAGUAACUAAUUGAGGGCAUAAUAGGUUAAAAAAUUAUUCUUUUCUUGAAUUGUCAAAAUGGACAAGUAAUUAGGGACAAUUAAAAAAAGAAAAUGGAUAAGUAAUUAGGGGCAAAGGGAGUAGAUUUUAAAAAGUGUCGGUUUGACCAAUUUGUGGUUUCUAACACAUAAGUUCUCUGGCGAUUAAAUUGUACAAAUUAUUAUACCAGACAUAACUUGUGUUAUAUUAUGGUAAGAAAAUAUUAACAAGAAUUUUCUCCUUACAUAGGAAUAUUUCCACAGAGAAGCAAUAAAAAAUCUCCGCCCACUUUUAAUUGUCAUACUUUUUCCUUUUUUUAAAGUAACUUUGACUAACAUUUUACUAUGUAUUUUUCAUCAUAUUGAUAUGCAAAAAAUUGGAAUUUAUAGUACUUUUUGUAUAGUUUUUGAAUAUCUAAAUAUGUGUUUAAAAUAUCAAAUUAAUGUAAUCUAAUUUAACUUUGAAAAUUAAUUAAAUUUACUUUCGAAAUGCACAAUUAAAAGUGGACGGAAAAAAGAGCAUGAUUAUAUUGUUCAAAAAUUGUGUAGUCAAAUAAAGAUGUGUUUGACCUUUGAAUUUGAUUACCUAAUGAGCGCCGAGAUACUCGUACGUAUUCGCAUAUUCUCUAUAUGUAAGGAUCUCGCAACGUCAUGCAUCCUUGUAUCGACAUCAAUGGAAAAGUCAAAAUGGGCCUAGGUUUUUCCACAUUGAGAUGUCCGAACCAAGGUGUGUUGUGAAGUUUAUAAGGAAAUUAAAUUGAGGUCUGUAUUCAGUACGAUUAUCAGCAAUGAAGAGCGGAGAGCAGUUGUAUUGUGAUGAUGAUGAUGAAGGAAAAAAAACUACAAAUGGAAAUUGUGAUGUAUUAGGAAGAAGAAGUAGUAGUUUAGAGAAUGAAAUUGAAGAAAUAGAAGAGGAACAGGGGACUAAUAAUGGUUAUAUUCCGGCAAGUGAGUUGUUUGAGAUUGAUAAUAGAAGAGGGUUAGCAAUAAUUAAAGAAGGUCAUGAAGUUGAAAGUAGUACUUUAUAUUCAUUUGAUUUCCAUAACAAUGGGAAUGUUGUUGUUUAUGUUGCUGUUGGGAAUAGUAGUAGUGCUAAUAAGAUUAGUAAGGAGACAAGUAUGGAUGCUCUUCUUUGGACACUCAAAAAUGUUGUGCUGGAUCCUCCUUCUACUAUUGUUUUCUUGAUUCAUAUCUAUCCUGAGACUAAGUACAUCCCUACUCCUUGUAAGCUCUCUCUUCUCUUUUUUUUCAGAUUGAUAUUUGAUACCAAUGAACAUAUGUAUAUUUGUAGUCUUGUCCUUCGAGUUUUGUUACUACCUGUUAUUUUGUUGUAGUUACUGUUCUGUUGCUUUUGUUACUAUCAGUUGAACCGAGGGUUUAUUGGAAACAAUCUCUCUACUUUUGAGGUAGGGGUAAGGUUUGUGUACACAUGAUUACCCUCCCCAUACUAUAAAUCACAUGCCCAAUCGAAUACACGAUACUGAAUGACCAGCAGGAUUUAUAUUCAGGAUCAGCUUGCUUGGGUUAAGGUCUGUUCAUGAUAUUUAACACCAGUAAAGAGUUAGCAUCAGUUAGUCCAGAAUCGCCUAGCUAGCUUGUUUCAUGCUUGAGAAACUGUUUUUGAUGUGUAAUCUACCCAGAGUAGUACUUCAAUAUUGAUCGAUUAAUUGUCGUUACUUGGUGGAUGAUGGUUACAACAGUGGGAUUGAUUCCAAUAGGUCAAGUGAGUGCAGAGCAAAAGGAGAACCACAUGGCUCAAGAAAGAGGCAAGAGGCGGCAGUUCCUUCAAAAGUAUUAUGAUGCAUGCGCUGCUACAAAGGUACACAUUAUUAUUGGCUACUCAUUCAACUAGCAUAGCAUACCUUCUUGUUACACAAAGAUAGCAUGAGGUUAACCAUGUAACAAAACACAUUCAACAAUAGGUUAAAGUCGAUACCAUACUUAUAGAGAGCGAUACAGAAGCAAAAGCCAUACUGGACCUUAUGCCCAUCUGCAACAUAAGAAGGCUGAUCUUGGGCACCUCUAAAGCCAAUCUCAAGUAUGAAAUCUCACUUAUAUUAUAGAAUGCACAGUCCUCAUUUCUGAAUCUUGUUAAUCUCAAUUCCUUUUGAUGGGUCUUAAGGAAACUAAAGUCGAGAAAAGGUAGUGGAACAGCGGAUCAGAUACUACUAAAUGCACCUGAAUUCUGUGAGGUUAAGAUAAUAUGUGAAGGCAAGGAAAUGGUUGAGCUGCAGAUGUUUGAAUCUCCUUCUCCCAAAGCCACUACUGGUAAUAGUCCAAAGCCAAUUCAGAAUCAUACCGAAGAUCAAAAUCAAGUCCAGAAUGGAUCCUUCGGAUGUGGAUGCUUUAAAGCCAGAGUCUUCAACAAUCUGCAUUAGCAUCAAACCCAAAAUUCAAGGUUGGAUGUCAAUUUCAAGUUGAAGGACUUAUCAUAUCAUACAUAUGCAUGAAAGUCGGUAACUAUAUAUUGUAUAUCGAGAAACAAUUAAUAUACACACCAUUGUUGAUAUGUUCAAAAAGAUGUAAAGUUCUCUUUUUUACCCUGAUUCAAUCAACUACGGAUCCUUAGUUCAGUCCUAGUGAGUAACUUUUAGUAUAGACAAUUGAUCACUCUUAUGAAAUGAUAGUUAUGUAAGUUAAUGAUCGCGCUGAGAAGUAAGGAGCUAAAGGCAUACAUGACUAGUAAGAAAGAAAUAUGGGUGUUUCUCCUUUCCUCAAAAGAGACAAAAGCAAAUUCUAUACAUACAAGGAGAAGGUAAAAGGCAGCAACUUCCUGUGGAUAAAAAAGGUAUAGCAACAGGUUUUUGCUGGUUGAUUUUUCAUCUUUGAGACCUGUGCAGAGAAUUAUCAGGAAUCUUGUAUCUCUGCUGUUAGGUGAUCAACUGCAACAAGUUUUUGCUGGUUGAUUUCUCAUAUAGUCGCUCAACUAAUAAUUAUAUUAUCUUAGAAAGUCGUCCUUCUUCUUAGUUUCAAUUUUCUUCAAAAAGAAAGUGUUUUCAGAGAUAAUAACUGAGUUGGACAUCCAAAGUGGAGUGACAUGUCCGAGUUGGAUUACCACAUCAGGUGUCAUAUCAGCACAAAGAAGGACCUGUUAAGUUGAAGGGCAUUUGUGAUCCUUGUGCUAACGAUAAGGGUAGUUUUGCUACCAACAUGAAACGAAGGGUAUAUGUGAUCCAAAUCCAAUAGUUUAAGGGUAAUUUUGGCCCUUUCCGUUCAUAAUAUUACAACCCUCCUUAAUUUGCAGCUAACGUAUGCAAACACUAUUUGCAAGUCUUUCUCUUGCAAACAGUACUGGCCUGUUCUUUAUAUACCACACUUUUCUUUUUAAUCAGUUCUAAAAAGAAUGUCAUCGUUCUAUAAUUAGAGGUAACUUAACUUUUAAAUUCCCCUUUUACUCUUAAUAAAAUGAUUUAUAGCUACAUAAACGUAUAAAGUUCGAUUUAGACCCUAGAUUUUAAAAGUUUUUGUUCUUUCUUACAUUGUGUGUCAAGUUAAACGGUGUAAUGUAAAUUGAGACGGAAGGAGUAGUUUCUUACUGUGGCCCUUAGGGGACACGUCGAUGAGCUAACAAAAUUAUUCACCAAAUACAAAUAUGUCUUCAAAUCAUGACACUUUGCUACAUUUCCUUUCCUAAUUGAAUCUUUGCUACUCAACUUAAGUUCCUUCCCCACCUCAGCAUACACCCACUGAGUAUCUUCCAUGUACUUUUCAAGCCAGCUUGGCACUCUUGCCACCGUGGCAUCACCUCGAUGUGCCAUGUCAUCAUCGUCAAUCACGAAUCCCGGAACUUUUGUUAUGGGAUCAUCAGAGUUGACUAUUCUUAGUACCUUUGUACCAUUUUUUUCCAAUUGAUACCUAAAGCUCUUGUUACCAACUCUAGGCCCUCCAAAUGAUAAAACUGUCACCAUAGGCAAGUUAUUAAAUUUUGUUGUUAUAUCAUAUGCUGUAAGUGUAGCUAAGGCUGCUCCAAGACUAUGUCCUGUAAUUGUUAUACUUAGAGAAUAUUCAUCACUAUAAUUAUUGAGAAUGCUGAUAAUUUCUUCUCUAAUUGUUUCUUGUAAACUUGGAAUAUGACCUUCAAUUUUCGUAGUGUACAUGCUCAAGAGUCCACUUUGUACCAUUGGUUCGCUAUUUUCAUCAGGUGACAUGUCAUCUGGUAAGCAAGUCAAUGUGGCACGUAAAUUUUCAAGCCACUCCGAACAAGUGGCAGUACCUCUAUAAGCAAUCACAAUGUCACGGCGACCUAGCCGGGUAAUUUCGUCCACGUCAUCGCAUACCGCCACGUAACCAAUCCAGCUGGAUUGCGGCGACUUCAAAUUGGGGAACUUCUCUAUCCACCGUGGCAUUUGAACAGCACACGUGGCAUACAAGUUUUUUACUACCUUGUACCCGCUCCGUCCUAGUCCGCACUGCAUCAGCAUCGAACGUUUCGGGUACCGACAAGUUGCAUACGUGGCUGAUGACGUGUCAAAGUCAAAGCAGCCAUAGGCUGCUUCUACAAACUCUCCAUACCUUAAGAUCUCCCCGCGAAGAUCCUCGUCUAGUGGAUCAAGCAAACCGUCCCAAUUCUUGAUUCCUUGAAACUCCAUCCACUUCUCUCCGAGUUUGUCUUUAUCGUUAAAAACAAGGCAAUGACUCGAAUCGGGGUGGCAGGAGUUACUAAUUUUGAUGAUCCGAUGAGUAGUAGUACUCAAAUUUAGAGUAGACGUGGAAUAGUACUGCCAAGUAUUAGGCAGUACUAUUCCAAAAUAUUUGUUGGUUAGAAAUAGUUGAUUUGGGCAGCGCAUUAUGUCGCAAUUUGCAGCGCUAGUUUGUAUACUUUAGUUGUACAUUUUGUAUACUAUAUAUACUUACAUUUUGCAUAAAUUUAUAGUUAAUGUAACUAUCACAAAAUUCCCUCCUUCCUCACCAAGCCAUAUUGACUCGAUUAAAUAAAAUUCAGUAUUUACAAUGACACAAGAUAUAGUUUUUUUGGGUAAAAUAAUAAAAAGUGGUUUUAACAAUACUAAAUAUUAAUAGUAAAAUAUCUUUAGUGCUAAAAGUGUAACGGUUAAACAUAUUUACUUUGAAUAUUUCUGGUUGUGCCCUCUUCCCCAAGCUAAAAGAGGAAAUUACGUUGUUAUGGGGGGAGAAUAUAUGUAUAUUAAUUUUUAAUUAAAGAGGACUAAUUGAUAGAGGGGAAUUGGGGGCGGACGGUGCAUUGAGUUUUAUGGGAUAAGUAUUAUCUGAUUAAAGUGUAAAUAGUGACUAAAAGAUGACGUUGGAUUUUUAAUAUUGAUGACGAAUAAGAAAAGGUGAAAAUCAAACUAAUGAAAGCAACAUGUCAAAAUAAUGAUAGGGCUUCAAGUCUUAGAAAUUCCUCUUUAAUAAAUUCGUAUAAAUUUAAAUUAAUCGAGCUAGUAAAUUUCAAACACCGCAUGAAUAUUAUUAUACACAAAGCAUAACUAAUAUUUUGAUAUAUAAUGGUGAAAGCCAUCAAUCAUUUGACAAGAAGGAUGAUAAAAUUAUCGAUAGAGAGAUAGGCAUAAGGUCCUUUUAUUAAAGAAAGAAUUCACAUCAAAACUUUGAUAAAGAACUCUAAAGAUUGUGUAAGAAUAUCCUUGAGGCUGCUAUUGUGGGUUAACUUAAUCUAUCUGACUCAUAGAAUGUUGACAUACAGGAAGGCGCAUCUAGGAUUUAAAAAUAUGUGUGUUUCUUCAAAAAUCUUGAAUUAAAAUAUAAUAAUAACAACUGAAUUCACAAUAUUUAAUGAAUUUCUCAACACAGGCAAAAUUUGAAGAAGAAUUAUUGAAUCCAUAGGUUACACUGUGCAUCCAUUCCUGCUUGCUUGUGUUUUAUUAUUUAAAAAAAUCUGUGACAUCAUUCAAGAUUAUCGUUAACUAGACGAAAAUAUGCUAAUUAUAUUCUCAUUUGACAAGUUCUGAAAGUGAAAAAAGCUCAAUUGGAUAAGUUAAAAGAUCAAUUAUUAUAUUAAAUAUCUUUAAUAUUCAUCUAAGUAUAUAUGGCGAUACGUAUUAUCCCUUCUAACCGAAAGGCGAAAGUUAAGAUGCUGAGUAUUUCAUAAUUAUUCUUCAAUCUUUGUUGUAGUACUAGUACUUAUGCUAAACUAAUUUGGAAUAUUGCUAAUUUCCUUUAUGUCUAAUCAUUCUACAUUUGGUCUUAAUAUGUAUUGAUUAGAGUUGACAUUGAGAAUCAUUCAAAUAUACUUCACAAGGUACCCUUCCUUCCAAACUCCACUUGUGAAAUUAUAGAGACUACAAGUAUCAUAUUUUUGCAAUAUUUUUGCAGAGUCACUAAACCACCUAAUUUGACGUGCAUGAAAUGAUAACUACAUAGUGCUAUUGUGGUGACAAAACAACUUCGUCGUUGCAUCGUUGCCACAAAUAUGUGAUGAAUAAAAUUGCUAGUGUCACUCCAAAAAAUCUACCUAAAGGAUGGUAUACCUAACCAAAAAGAUUCUAGCAGCAAACAAUCAAUUCAGAUAUUCACGACCAAGAAAUACUGGAUUCUCUUUCAUAUAGGCCCGGAAAGGAGAAGGAAGGUUGAGAUGCCAACAAACGCCUAUUAUAUUGAAUUUAUCUAAUAGUUCCCAUUUUGGGAACGUCCAGUGCAGGAAAACACAAUAAAUCACCAAUCCAAGACCGUAAAUAUACCUUAUCUGCAGGACAGUCAUACUUAUCUCUCCAGUCACAUCGACACAAUAAAACUUAUAGUGAAAGCACAGAUUGCCUCAGACUCGGUGAAGAGCUGGAACAAGACAGAAGUAAUUGUUUUGAAAAGUUUUUAAUAUAUAUUUUGUCUUGGAGAAAGAUAUCAUAGAAGGUACAGAAAUCUUACAAAUGAGAAAUUUAUCACUUCCAAUCAUGACACUCUGCGCAAUAAACAGUAGAUGCCGCCUAUCAGCCAACUUCCUUGAUUUCCCAAAUUAUGCCACUACUUAACCCUGCUUGACAUUGAUAUAUUAGAAUUGAUCAUGUCAGCAUACCGAUGAAUAAUGACAAGAAACAAUGGUUUUCUUUCCUUUCAGCUUUUUUUUUUUAAGGAUUGCAUAUCACGUCGCAUUACUAUUUUCUUUCUUAACCCACUGAGUGACUUGUUUUCUUGAACUUUGAGCAACUUGUUUUCUUGAAUUGUGCCCCUGGUGUUUCUUUGUGCCGGAGUUCCUUCCUCUACUGGUAUUAGGUUUGUUUGUGGAACCACUAGAAUUUGUUCUGGAGUUGACUGCCAUAUCUUUGUCUUGUUGCUCUUUUGCCUCCUCAGUGGAUGCUGUUGAGGGUAAUGCAGCAGGUUGUGGAAGAAAAAUACCUGGCCGCAACACUUCAUGCUUUUUGAUUUCAAUUAGGCCGCCCUUCUCUUGCUGGAGUUUCAGUAUUGCAUCAAAUUUCUCUCUUCUUAAUUUUUCCGAGUCUGAGGAAAGAAUCUUGUCCUCAUUGUUAACUUCAAACCUGCUGGAGGUCUGGAUUCAAACAGUGAGCAGAUAUCAACAGAUCUUCCAGACUACCUCAAAUGUAAAUAACAAAACAUUGUAACACCACAAAAAACAAACACUUUAUUUAGUACCCAGGGGCACUAACCAACUGUACUUUGUUUCAGCUCUAACAUAUCAGAUCUCCUAGUUUAUUUGUUCCAUAUUUAAUAGGCAAAGGUUUUACAGUUUGACUUCUCAAAGCUCAAUAUAGAAACUAAACGUGCAUAAACAGUCACUAGGAAAGAGUUUACAAGAGCCAUAAUCCACACAUAAAACUGACGCUGUGUAUACUGUCUCAUCCUCUUAACAUAUCAUCCUCAUUAUCAUCCCCAUAACCCAUAAGUGUGGUUACACAUAUGGAGACCUAUCAGCCUUUUAUUUCUAUCCUUGAACUUUUGUCUAUCGGCCCUCGUGCUCUAUCAGAGCUCCAACUGGCUACAGAGCACAAAAUCAUUCAGCACAAAAAUUCAAAUAGGGUCUUUCUUUUACAGAAAGGCAAGAAUAGAUAUUUCUAUAAUACUGCAGUAUUCAAAAAGUAUUGUGACCAUCAAAUACACCAACUUAUUACAGAUUGUGAUGCUACUGCAACACCGAUGUGUUACUUUUAUACAGUUAUUACAAGAGGAUUACAUUAUCAUCAACACUAUCAUUUCCCAGGAUCAGGAUGCAAUAAAUUCCUAUUUGCCGGCUCAAGGUCUCAGACAUUUUUACCAUUUAUUCAGCACUCUCAAAUAGAAGAAACCCAGACGUUUCAAAUUUUAGGAUGACAUAAUUGAACAAAAGCAUCAUGUUUAGCAGAGUGAAGCAAUUCACCUCGAAUGAGACUAUAUCUUUACUAUUAAAAAGCUAAAAAAAUCUUUCAUUAACCAAAAAUUGAUGGUGAAUUUAGAAAUCGACCUAUUGGAUUUCAAAUUGUAACAACUAGAGACUCAAAGUCAUGCUUAACUCCUCAAAUUAUUUUCUUUUCUGUUUCUCAAUUCUUUGGCAAAUGUUGUAUACAAACCCAUACCUUCUUACUCGCUCGCCAUUAAUUACCAACAAUUCCUACACAGUUUUAUAAAGAUCAAUACAAUAAGAAAAAGGAGGAUACGGAAACUAAUCAAUGAGCUAACACUUGGUUCUCAAAAAAGUCUUUCAUCAAAUAAAUAUUGGAGGAGGAGGUUGUUAAAGACGAAUAAUAAUCACAUCGGAUACAUAAGAACAUCCACAAGAGCUAUAAAGGCCUUAGGUAACUCCACCAAUAUGUUGACAUUCUAUAUUUCGAUGUUCAAAUACAUUCACAACAAGGAGUUUUAUACAAGACUUCGCUAUUCUUUUUGCUAGUGAGGAGUUUCCUUGCCCCACUAAGGGAGAAGAACUCAUUUUUGUUGAAAUCAGGAAUUUUCAUAUAUAGGAGCAGCUCGUACAAUAUUUCAGCAAAUCAAGGUAUUUCCCCUACCUAAAAAUUUGAGAAAAGAUAUGACUUAGACUAAUAAAUAAAUGAAGAUAUUUGUGCAACUUACCACAGCAUGCUGAGUCUUCACAAAGUCAAGCACAUGCUCAAUGUCCUUUGCAAGAAAAGAUUUGCGACAAACUGGGCACUUCCUCCUAGAUUCUUCUGUUGAAUCACACAUCACCAAGCAAGAUAAAUAAUGAGCUAUGGAAAUAGAAAUGUUGGAAUAUUAUGUCCACAAAAAGACACAUAGAUAAAAAUAAAAAUUCACCCUGGGUUCGUCCCCCAAAACCCCCAAAACCCCCAACUGUAAACUCAUCUGGAAUAUAUUUAAAAAUUAGAAACCUAAACAUAAAAAUAAAAAAUUCAGUGAUUUCUUUACCCGCUCCUCAAAAAAUGAGGGAUUUUAUGAUGAAACACAAAAAUAUUAAAUUACUCCUUAACAACCAAGCUUGCGAGCAAAAAGAAACACUUAGGAUAACCAAUGUGAGUGAUAUAGGAGCAAAAUAUGGAAGAUAAAUGGAAGGAAAUAAGCUGAAUCAUUGAAUCAUUGGUAUAUAGACAAAAGCAAGGCUCAAAUAAAAACCUCAACCUCUCUGCAGAAUGAAGAGACAGGGGACCUCUUAGCCCCUGGGUUAGUAGAUGCAGAGCCUCUUAAAACUAAAUGAUGCAAACACUUGUUCUAAUGAAGUGAAAGUGCUAUUACUCUUGCAACUAGACGGGGUAUGCAGAGAGUAUGUGAAUACAUGAAUUAUUUCUACAGAAUUUCAUUAGUCAAGUAAAUUGGAUAAAAAAGAUCAAGUCCCUGAGCAAAGUUGACACACACAUGGUUCAACAGUCAACACAAGUAAUUGGUUGGUCCCACACAACUUUUUUAUGCAUCUAUCAUCCUAUUUCUUUCUUUGCCUUCUUUCUUUUGUUGUGUGUGGAUGAAAACUAUCCUAAAGACCUUUGCUUCCCAAUAAAAUCCAGUUAACCUUUUCUAAAUCUAGUUGGAGCAGGAGAAUAAAAUGAAAGAGGAGUAUAUGCUAUAAAACAAUUCAAAUCCUAAGGCAUCAAUUUCAUUGCAACGGACCAUCCUGAUCCGUGAUACUUCCAGAAGAUGAAGCAGAACCAGAAGCUGUAGGGGCAUCAGAUUCUUUUAGUAGUUCAAGCCAAUUCCACCAUCUGAUGAUGCACUCACUGCACAGUAAGAAAAAUAAAUGAGUUUAAAGUUGCAACCACGCAUCUUUCAGCCAGCAGGCAAAGUAAUCAUAAUAAAAAGGUAUUAGCAACAAAAUUUACCAAUGAAAGCAAUGAAAACAAGACAUUAGUUUCAUAAAUGGCUCAGAGCUUCCUGAAUCUUCAGCAACUAACGGAUACAAGCACAACGGACACUCUCCAUCAGGGUGAUUCAUACUCGAAAGCCGCUCCACUGCUUCCUAGUGAUACAUUCAGAGCAUUAAAUUUCUGGAAAUUAAACCCACUUCUGAAAUUCUAACAAUUAUUUGGACCAUUUAGCAACACAUUGCCUUUGUUGUUAUAGCUCAUAAAUGUGAGUCCCUGAUGAAAUUCUUAUUCAUAAAAUCAAAAAUAGAAUUUUUAUUAGCAUAAAGCUAAAACAAAAUCCAGGAUCAAUCAAGCAUAUAAAUGACAGAUCUGUAUUUAAAAAAAACAUAUAAAUGACAGAUACUUAGCAUCUGGAACCUAAUAAACUUCAAUAUCUUUAUUGAAACUGAACCUUAUAAAUACUCUAUUCUACAUCUACUUUGCUCCUUUUUCUAUUAACGCUCUAAAUCGGCUGCAAAAAUAUCAGUGUGUUCUUUGAAUUCAUUUGACUGAGGACAAAAAGAUCCGAAGUAUAUUGUCAUAAAAAAAAAGAUCCGAAGUAUAUAGUUAUUCUUAUUCAUCAUAACGUGAGUUCUGAGAUUUUGGAUCUAUGUUUUAUUAAACGAGGAUAAUCUAACUAGGAUUGUCAUCGAUCACAGAACUGGAUCUCAACAGUGCAAUGGUUACCUCACAAAGUGCUACAAGCAUUAGACAUGAGGAAAGUUCACUGGCCCUUUCUGAAAUACAACUUAUCAAUUGUUUUUGCCUUUGCUCAUCAAGACCCUUGGAAUCAACAAUUCUAAUAGCAGGUGGCUCGUCAGGAUACUGCCAAAAUAAUUAUAUCAGUGCAGGAAAGAAAUAUGAAACCUGUCUAAUCACACAAGUAUGGCUAUUGCAUGAAGUAGUUAACCAAGAAACAAAAUGGGACACAAGUGUGUAUGGACUGCAGAAAGCUAUCAGAUGAAAAAAACAUAAAAUUUGAUGACAGAAAUACAGAUGAAUUAGACAACAAGGUCCAAAUGGCAAUCAUCACCCCCAAAAAGAAAUCACAGUGAUAGAUGUUCAAACUUGCAUAUUGUGGACAAUUUAGAAGAAGAGGAAUGCAAGAUGUUUUGAAGGCAAGAGCAGCUCAACCCAGAAAAUCAAGAGUACAGGCAUUUCUCUUUUUCAUCUUUUGGUGUAAAGAACAGUUUGUAGAAGAUGCAGGAUCAUGGAUGGACAUUUUUUUUAAUCAGGAAUGCUGAAUCAUUGAUCAACUUUUUUGACUCCUUGUAAGAAUUACAGGGGGGAUUGUACUAGUAAAUAUUAAAUCAGACCUUUUUGGGUGCUGAUGAUAUAACAUGUAACCGUUUUCAAAAGAGAGAGAGAGAUCACGGAGACAGAGUACCUUUGAACCAGCCUGGAUUCCUAUGAUUGCUUCCACAAACUGAAACACAGGAGAAAGUGAAAAUGAAACUAUUUUCUAUAGCAACAUACAACAUAAUCAAUAGGAAAAGUAACCAGGAAAUCAAAGAAAAAAAAGAAAAAAAAGAACUGUCAAGUAUAAUGCCACUUCAUCAGAUCCAUUGAAAUUAUCAGAAAACAUUGACAGCCUUAGGAAACACGAACUACUCUUAAACCAGUACUCUCUUCGUCACUGUGUUCAAAACGUGUAUCUCAUCUGUAUAGAAUAUUAUGCCUCCAUUAAUCUCUCUAUCAGACUCCGCCUCUGCAUUUUCUUACACUAUCCAAAUUGUGACUAAACAUGAAAAUUUUGCUAAUGAUUUAACCUUCCAAUCUAGGCAAUUCAUAAAGUAUUGUUGUCAAAGGCAUAUCUGUAACGAGCUGAAAUGGAAAGAUGGUCAGGUCAUAUAGCUGACUCCGUCUCUCUUUGGAUUGAAACAUAGUUGUUACUGUAGCGUUGUCAAAGACUUAUUUCAACCAUGUUAACCCUGAAGCUACUUGAUGCUCAAGAUGACCACUUUGCCUUGCUUAAACACACUUCAGCAUAGGUAUCAAGGUGUAAAGGUGUGCCCCAUUUCUAAGGGCUUCAUAUAAACAUUAAAAUUACAGGUAAAAAAAUAGAUUUGUAUUUAAUAAAAAGUAAAUUUAAAAUUUUAAUCUAAGAAACUAGUCACUUGACCAGAAUUAAGAACUCUUUUAGUAUCUAACCUUGUGUUGGUUUUUGAACUUAAUUACGUGCUUUUACUUCAUAAAUUUCACUUAAUUUCAGAUUUUUCAUUUACCUUGUUCUUAUAAUUGUUGUAUGUGUUCAGCAUUAUUUAUUCUGGAAUUAUAUUUUCUUUUUGUUCAUUUUUUUCUAAAUCCCUCUUUUAAUAGGGCUUUGCACUUAGACCAGCAAACUUUAGGCACUUUUCAAUGUUUUUUCAUCUUUGACAGUGCUGCAUAUGAGGUGUUCAAGUAUGCUUGCCUCCAUGCCGCAGCGGAAAAAAUAAAACAUUUUGGUAGGUGGUAACUACAUGUGGAGAAUAAAGUAGUCCUUGACUGAAUUCUGGCAUAUCCUCCUCUUCUUUUCCUUUUUUUUUGACAAGUUACAUUUCCUUUAUCCUCUCCCCUUUAUUUCCCCACAAUUAACGAUAUAUCUGGAUUACAUUGUGUUCCCACUUGACAUAUCAUUUCUUAUGAAGGUGACCGACGACAAAUUUGGAAGGAAUUCAAACUAAAUUUUGAAAGAAUAUGGAGGAGCAAUUUAAAGUUUAGGAGGUCCAAUGUUUAAAGAAACAGUUCCAAUGGAUGCACAGAAAUGAGAUAUAAACAUAACCUUAAAAGAAGUGAAACCAAUUGUAAGAGGUGAUGGAAUGAAGACCAAAAUUAAAUAGACUCAGAUAGCUGCCCCUUAAAAAAAUCGAUAGAAACAUAUUGAAAUUAAGACCAAUAACUGAUGACUAAUGAGAAAGCCAGUUUUAUUAAAUUUAUUGAUUUGUCACUUUUAACCGACGAUAAGUGAGGAUCAUCGCCUUAUAGGUGAAGCCAGUAGAAUUAAAGAAGUUUGAACUUCUAAUAAUGACGAGCAAACUGACCCAAACGGAAGGCGGUUGGUUCUUUGAAUCUCAGCUUUAAGGAGCUGAUAAAUAUUGGGGGUAUUGGGACAUUAAAAUUAGUUAUUUUAAGUGCAAAUCGAUUAUUUUGUACUGAAAUCAUAUUUGUUAUUUUUUCUUUUAAAUCUCUAAAAAUGUGUGUUUCACUUCAAUGAAGCUUGCACUUCAAUAAAUGCUUGUCGGUUCAAGACCCGUGGACCUUGUUGUGUUUUUAUGCUUCGCACUUUGGAGAAAACAUUGAUAUAUUAUACGGGAAACUAUACACGCAAUGACAAAUUAGCAAUCUGAAUUUAAAGGGCACUAGGGGCAUAUUACCAUCAAUGCACAAUGAUUGUAACCGAUACUUAAAGCUCUUAAAUUGCUACUCCACUACAAGUUUCCAAGGUGUUUGUAGCUUAAGUGGAAGAUAACUUAUUGUAUUUCCUAAUAUUUCAGAAUUAGCCCCAGGCCCCAUUCUUUGGGUUGUUAUGUAGCACUUUAUCCUUAUCUAGAAAGUAGCUAAAACAGAGUGAAGAGCAAGAUCCUCCUAUUAUAUUUUGGAGGUCUUUAUACUUUUCCCUGUCUUGAUGACAAAUGAUCUUUUCCCUUUUGUACUUCUUUUCAUUUUGAUGAUGAAUGGACUUUUUCCAUAUCAAAAAAAUUAUUUUCUCGUAUUUCUUUUUCCAUCAUACAUUUUUUUCCUUCUUUUAUAAAAUUCUGUUUUGGGAGCUUUUUGCUGCUCUAUUUGGGAGAUUCUACUUGAAGGAUCGGACUUGUAGUGUAACCACAAUGCAAGAAUGAUACACAGAAAUAGAGAGGUAGCAGUUUUCAAAUUGGGGUUUAUACACAUUCAGUUCUCUGCUCAAUAGCUAGUAGAUUUUAAGAUGUCAUUCUCCUAUCACAAUUACCAAAUUAGCGCCAGAUUCAUUAACAAAAAAAAACAAAAAAAAAAAACUUGCCCGCUGCCCCCAACUCCCAAUUCUCAUAACAAAAGUCCCAGGACACAACAAAAUUAUAUUGCAAGCAUUUCAGCACAAAGAUCAAUCAGCUGUUUGAAGAAUCGAAAUAAUUUUGGUUGGAAAGAGAAAGAACCUGUUGAGAAGAAUCAUCGGCAGUACGAGGCUUGAUAUGAAGAUGAAACGAAGGAGGAUAAGUUUGUAGGAGUAAGCAAUCAUCGCCGUAAACAGCUUGUAAUGCUUCUACUUCUCCCACUAUUUCUUCUUCUUCCGCCAUGUUUGGCUCUGUGGCAAAGGCGGUGGUGAGCGUUGCUAACUUUGUACACAAAAAUAUAUAUAUGGUGGAGCUCCUUUAACUAUACUUUAUGUUCAACAAAGACAAAUUUAGUCCAUAUUAAAUUAAUUUCAGUAUUUAACCCUUUAUUUUCAAGGAGCUACUUGUUAAAAAAAAAAAAAGGAGAAGGUUUUGUUUUGCUUUAUGGUAUUUUCGAACUUUUUUCAGAUAUUAAAAAACUUGCACGUAAUGAAGUAAAGAAAAUAGAGUUGAAAGUGGACUUUUCCAACGCUUUGUUCGGAUGGUUGUUGCGUAUUAUUUCAUUAUAUAUUGUGUUGUAUUAUAUUAUUUUAAUGAGCACAGUGUUUGGAUAGAUUGCAUCGUUUUUCAUCGUUGCAUAAUGUCACACAUUCAUAAUUUGAAUUAUAAACCUAGGGAAAAAAAGUAGGGUAUGGGAUAAAGUUAUUAUGAAAAGAUAGGAUAAAAGACGAAAUAUGAUUAUUGAAUAAUAAAGAUAAAAUGAGAAAAAAUUAUGAUAACGACACGAUCACACCAAAUCGGUCAUUACGAUAUUUUCAUCGUUAUCUAACAAUGAAUUUAAACAAUAUGAUACAAUAAAAUUUAAGUAACAAUCAAAAUAAACAUUGUAUUUAAACUAACAAUACAAUACAAUAAGUAAUAACCAUCCAAAAAAAAGUGUUAAUUUCCUAAAACUAUUUUACUAAAAAUCUCUCUAUAAACUCUUCUCCUCAUUCUUUACAUUCAUUCUUGUUGAGAAGAAAGAAAAAUAAAAUUGAGGCAUGAAAAAUUCCUUGAGGUCGAGCGUUCUAGUCCAACGAUUCUGCAUUUCUGUUAUAGUCUACACUUGUCUGUCCAAAUGAUCAACCUUGCCAUCAAGUUGGAUUACUCGAUCUUUGAGUGUAUCCUUAACAACAGUCGUUGUUGAGUAUUUUCUUAACUACAGUUGUCGCUGACAACACUUCACUGCUACCGUCAUGUACAUGGUACAACAAGAAGAGAAUUAGCAGAAAUCGAAAGAUUUUAUUCAACUAGCCUCAUAAUUAUAUUUUUUACUCCAACCACAUAUUAAUUUUACAUAGUAUAAGGACAAAUUUGACAAUUCUCACCGUUUAGAACAUAUAAUUUUCAUGCCUACGGUAUUUAAUAUUCAAAAUUAUUCACGUGGUAAUUGAAAUUGGUAUAAUUACUAGGAUAGUAAGUACCAGUCUAGUAAUUAUACAAUCUACUAAUUACACUAUAUGUUUGUUUGUCACAGUGUAAUUACACAUGUACUGUUUGGUUGAACAAGUGUAAUCAUAAGGUUAUAUUGAAUUUUAAAAAUAAAAAUUAAUUAUUUAAAAUUAAAAAAUUAUAUUAGACAAAUAAAGGCCUUUAUAAAUUAUAUUAAAUUGAAUAUUUAAGAUAUAUAUAGUCAUUUGAAAAUAUAUUAAUCAAUAAACAUAUGAUAUUAACUAAUAUUAUAAAACAUAAUUAAUUUAGUAUAUUUUAAUUAAAUUAAUUAUAAAAAACUAACAAUACAGAAUUUCUGUGAAUAUCAUGAAAUGCAUGUUUGACAAAAAAAAUUAAUAUUAUAUAUAUAAUGUCAUAAAAUUAUAAAACAUUUGACAAAAAAUAUAAUCUAUCAAGUCUAGCUUUUUUUUUAAAAAGUAGUAGUUUGCAAUGUAAAAUAUCGAGUCAAUACUCUUACAACAAAUGAAGUUGAAAAUAUAACAUAAGUUCUAAAUUCAAAACAAAAAAUUUAACAUAACAUACAUGAAUAUGACUUAAAAGAAAAGGAAAACGUAAGUCCGUAACUUUACUCAAAAAUGAAUUCUACUUUAAUUUAAAAAUUAAAAUACUACCAAAAUUAUAUUAAUGAUUUGUUUUAGAUAAUAGAAUCACACGAAGUAAAGGUUAAGAAUAAGAAGGAAAUGAAAUAUAAAAAAUAUAUAUUUUUAGAAAAUAUUAGAACAAUAAAAAUAAAAAAGAAUUUCAAUCAAUAAAAAUAAAAAUACAUUAAAACGAAAAAAUAAAAAUAGAAAUUUAAGGAAGAAAUUAAAAAAUAAUUAGCUUGAAAUUACCAGCAAUUCACAGCCUCCCCUGUGAAUUGGAGAGUGUAAUUACACCCUGCCAAUUACAUUCAAUUAUCUAUUGACAAUGUAAUUACACGACCAACCAAACAAGACAUACACUCAAUUACACUAAAAUCCAAUUACUAGGAUGACUUUCCAAAUAGGCCCAUAGGUCCUACUUCCAUAAUUAUUCAAAUCAUAGUGUGGAUAUUUUACCAUUCUCAAUAAAAGAUUAUUCAAUACAUGAUACAAAGGCUCUUAGGGGGCUUGUAUUUGUUACAUAAUUACAAUUAUUUUACCAUUUACGUAGAUAGUACAAUCAUGUAGUUAUUGAAGAUGUACAUGAAUGUCCAAAACACAAAAUAAGAAAAAUGUACAACAUGCAAGACUUUCACCCAAAGAAAGAAAAUAAAAAUGGGCAAAAGAAGUAGCAGCAUCUAUGUACACAGCUCAUUUAUCCUUUCUGCAGCUUCCGUAGGUGCUCAAACUCUUUCAGUUGUGUCUUUAGAAGUGUAUGCUCCUGCUGCAUUUUGCCAAGCAGUGUUUCGACCAUAAACAUCUCAUCUUUUAGAUGAUUAAUCUUUUUAUCCAGAAAACCUAGUAUAUCAACACCCGUCUCUCCUAGACGAUACAUGCUACUUGCAGAGUCCCCUUGAGAUAUCACUUGGACGUGCUGUGGUCUACC